GCAGAUGUGCUGGAAUGGAAGACAGGUUCGUGUUAGGUACGAAUGAGUUAAUACUCAUACAAGUUCAAGUCUUGUUAUCUGUA
rnacentral:tRNA from 5 species